GACGAACGCUGGCGGCGUGCUUAACACAUGCAAGUCGAACGGAAAGGCCCUGCUUUUGUGGGGUGCUCGAGUGGCGAACGGGUGAGUAACACGUGGGUAACCUGCCCUUGACUUUGGGAUAACUUCAGGAAACUGGGGCUAAUACCGGAUAGGAGCUCCUGCUGCAUGGUGGGGGUUGGAAAGUUUCGGCGGUUGGGGAUGGACUCGCGGCUUAUCAGCUUGUUGGUGAGGUAGUGGCUUACCAAGGCUUUGACGGGUAGCCGGCCUGAGAGGGUGACCGGCCACAUUGGGACUGAGAUACGGCCCAGACUCCUACGGGAGGCAGCAGUGGGGAAUAUUGCACAAUGGGCGGAAGCCUGAUGCAGCAACGCCGCGUGCGGGAUGACGGCCUUCGGGUUGUAAACCGCUUUCGCCUGUGACGAAGCGUGAGUGACGGUAAUGGGUAAAGAAGCACCGGCUAACUACGUG
rnacentral:rRNA from 1 species